rnacentral:rRNA from 1 species
UACGUAGGGGGCAAGCGUUGUCCGGAUUUAUUGGGCGUAAAGAGCGUGUAGGCGGCCAUGUAGGUCCGUUGUGAAAACUCGAGGCUCAACCUCGAGACGCCGAUGGAAACCAUGUGGCUAGAGUCCGGAAGGGGAGUGGGGAAUUCCUGGUGUAGCGGUGAAAUGCGCAGAUAUCAGGAGGAACACCGGUGGCGAAGGCGCCACUCUGGGCCGGUACUGACGCUGAGGAGCGAAAGCGUGGGUAGCAAACAGG